CACCACUUUACCCUUAUGAAGGCACUGUUGCUAUGUUUAUGAGGUCCUGGAGGCACUGUUAUGGGGUCACUCUGGGAAUCACUGAUGUGAGGUCACAGUUAUGGGGUCACUCUGGGAUUGCAGGAUUGAGGGCACUGUUAUGGGGCACCACUUUACCCUUAUGAAGGCACUGUUGCUAUGUUUAUGAGGUCCUGGAGGCACUGUUAUGGGGUCACUCUGGGAAUCACUGAUGUGAGGUCACAGUUAUGGGGUCACUCUGGGAAUCACUGAUGUGAGGUCACAGUUAUGGGGUCACUCUGGGAUUGCAGGAUUGAGGGCACUGUUAUGGGGCACCACUUUACCCUUAUGAAGGCACUGUUGCUAUGUUUAUGAGGUCCUGGAGGCACUGUUAUGGGGGCACUCUGGGAAUCACUGAUGUGAGGUGACGGGUCACUGUUAUGGUGUCACUCUGGGAUUGCAGGAUUGAGGGCACUGUUAUGGGGCACCACUUUACCCUUAUGAAGGCACUGUUGCUAUGUUUAUGAGGUCCUGGAGGCACUGUUAUGGGGUCACUCUGGGAAUCACUGAUGUGAGGUCACUGUUAUGGGGUCACUCUGGGAUUGCAGAUUUGAGGGCACUGUUAUGGGGCAACCCUUUACCCCUAUGGAGGCACUGUUGCUAUGUCUAUGAGGUCCUGGAGGCACUGUUAUGGGGGCACUCUGGGAAUCACUGAUGUGAGGUGACGGGUCACUGUUAUGGGGUCACUCUGGGAUUGCAGAUUUGAGGGCACUGUUAUGGGGCAACCCUUUACCCCUAUGGAGGCACUGUUGCUAUGUCUAUGAGGUCCUUGAGGCACUGUUAUGGGGUCACUGGGAUUGCAGAUUUGAGGGCACUGUUAUGGGGCAACCCUUUGCCUUUAUGGAGGCACUGUUGCUGUCUUAAUGAGGUCAUGGAGGCACUGUUAUAAGACUGGGGUCACUAUUAUGGGGGACACUCUAGGAUUUCAGAUUUGAGGGCACUGUUAUGGGGCAACCCUUUACCCUCUGUGGAGGCACUGUUGCUCUCUUUAUGAGGUCAGGGGGGGGCACUGUGGGAUCGCUGAUAUGAAGUCAUUGUUAUGGGGCACUGGUUGCCAUUAUGAUGAGGGUCAUGGAGACACUGUUAUUGGGGCACACUGGGGUCAUUGUUAUGGCGGAACUCAAGUAUAUUUUUUUUAGGAAAGCUCUGGCUGUAUCUUAAGGGGGUACUCUGGCGUUAUGGUGCAUGAUGUCUGCCGCUGUUAUGGGGGAACUCUUGCUCUUAGGCAUUCACGUACCAAGCAGUCUAUAUUUAACAACAGCCUUAAAGGGGUUGUCCCAUCUCAGAC